CCACGGAAUUUAGCAGAGAUGCUUUAGUGCCUUCGGGAGCCGUGAGACAGGUGCUGCAUGGCUGUCGUCAGCUCGUGUUGUGAAAUGUUGGGUUAAGUCCCGCAACGAGCGCAACCCUUAUCCUUUGUUGCCAGCGGGUUAUGCCGGGAACUCAAAGGAGACUGCCAGUGAUAAACUGGAGGAAGGUGGGGAUGACGUCAAGUCAUCAUGGCCCUUACGAGUAGGGCUACACACGUGCUACAAUGGCGCAUACAAAGAGAAGCGACCUCGCGAGAGCAAGCGGACCUCAUAAAGUGCGUCGUAGUCCGGAUUGGAGUCUGCAACUCGACUCCAUGAAGUCGGAAUCGCUAGUAAUCGUAGAUCAGAAUGCUACGGUGAAUACGUUCCCGGGCCUUGUACACACCGCCCGUCACACCAUGGGAGUGGGUUGCAAAAGAAGUAGGUAGCUUAACCUUCGGGAGGGCGCUUACCACUUUGUGAUUCAUGACUGGGGUGAAGUCGUAACAAGGUAAGCGUAGUGCU
rnacentral:rRNA from 1 species